rnacentral:rRNA from 1 species
AACGAACGCUGGCGGCAUGCCUAACACAUGCAAGUCGAACGGGAUCCUAGCUUGCUAGGUGAGAGUGGCGGACGGGUGAGUAACACGUGGGAAUCUGCCUUUUGGUUCGGGAUAACCGCGGGAAACUGCGGCUAAUACCGAAUGCCCUCGAGAGAGGAAAGAUUUAUCGCCAGAAGAGGAGCCCGCGUCCGAUUAGGUAGUUGGUGGGGUAAAGCCUACCAAGCCGACGAUCGGUAGCUGGUCUGAGAGGAUGAUCAGCCACACUGGGACUGAGAUACGGCCCAGACUCCUACGGAGGCAGCAGUGGGAAUAUUGGACAAUGGGGGCAACCCUGAUCCAGCAAUGCCGCGUGAGUGAUGAAGGCCUUAGGUGUAAGC